GUUGGAAUUCAAUAUUAAAGAUAUAUCACGAUAAAAUGCAAUACAAAUGCUCCUUUAUGCAACCUUCAAAAGCUAAUUAGACAUAUUUAGCUAACUUAGAAGACAAAUAGGGAGCAAAGAGAACAUGAGCACCACGGUAGAAAGCUGUUUUUAACAUCAGUUCAGAAACUGAAGAAGCCCAAAGAAAAUAAUUAUGCCACUUGUUAAUUGUAAAUUAGUGUAUUUCUCUUGAACAAUGUCACAUUCACAUACCAGUGUAAUUUUGAAAUGGUUUUACAAUAUAUUUAUAUAAAUAUACAGAUUAAAAAUAAAUAAAACACAACUGCAGAUAU